rnacentral:rRNA from 1 species
AUGAUGAAUUGGAUCCAGCACAUGGUGUGCACCAUAGGCACCUGUAGUGGUUGGCGUCAAGGGUGGUACAGCUCAAGCUUCCCCCUACUGCGCACCUCGCCGCCGGUGCUCAUUGAUGACAAGUUGUACUUGUUGGCCUACGGUCGUAGAAGCCCGACCGAGAAACUUGGCGCGAUUUUGAUGGUCGACGUGGCGACCGAGGAGCACCACAUCCACCCUCUCCCGGUUAAGAACAAUGAGGGAUACAGGCACUACGAUCCGCAGGUAAUCGCCUUCGAGAUGAGCGGGCGGCUGUGCCUCGCCGCGAACGUCCUCCGCCCUUCCCAGAAGCUCCAGUUCUGGGUUAUGUCGCCACCAUCGCAGGUCCAGUGGCUGCAACCGCAGGACCUGUGGGCUGAGUUCGACGACAGCAAGCUCUGCUGGGAUCUGCACUACAGCUUCCACAUCCACGAACAGCAGUGGGGGCGCACCCCGACGGGCGCCUGGUUUGAUGAUGUCGAGAAGACGUUGUGCUACAGGAGCGGGGAUGCAUUGUUCAUGAACGACACGAGGGGACGCUCGCCGGAGCCGUCUCUGGAUGCUGAUUGUCCUCCAUGCGACCGUCGACUCGAGCUGCCACCAAUGCCGUUGGGUUUGAACUGCAAAUGGAACGUUUUCGGUGGUUAUCGGCCCAGCCUGCUCUCACCUCUCACCUUCGCAUCGCCACAAUCGCCUUCAUGUGCCGAAGCAGAAAGACAACAAUUUGAGCAUAAAUUGUCGCUUACAUUGUGUGGACACGAGUGA